UACAGAGGUCUCAAGCGUUGUUCGGAUUCAUUGGGCGUAAAGGGUGCGUAGGCGGCGCGGUAAGUCGGGUGUGAAAUCUCGGAGCUUAACUCCGAAACUGCAUUCGAUACUGCCGUGCUUGAGGACUGGAGAGGAGACUGGAAUUUACGGUGUAGCGGUGAAAUGCGUAGAUAUCUGGAGGAACACCGGUGGCGAAGGCGACAUCCUGGACCAACACUGACGCUGAGGAGCGAAAGCCAGGGGAGCAAACGGG
rnacentral:rRNA from 1 species